AUCGGAGGAGCCUGGAGGUGUCCGCGGGGAUGCGACUGCUGUUUCGGUAUGCGCCUCGACAGCGAGGUGUCCGCGGGGAUGCGACUGCUGUUUCGGUAUGCGCCUCGACAGCGAUGCAGAGGUUCAUAUGGGAUGGAAGAUGUGGAAACAGCGUGAACAGAAGGCCGGGUCAAGUGUGAGUGUUCGCCGCUGGGUUUUGCUCCUCUCAUGGGGGUAAUGGUUUCAACUGCGGCUGUGAAUAAUGCAGUCCGGUCGGUUCCCUUGUUCUGCCAGAGGUCCGUCCACGGGGCGAACCUUGAGAUAGGGUCGGCAGGUAUUUACAUUCAAAGCGCCGCCUGCUUUCUGUGCGUGAGCAGACGUGCUGCGAGAGGAUAAGAAUGACAAAGACACGGGGAGUGGAAACGUCCCUGUGGUCUCCAAAGUGUUGAUAUCCUCCGACUGUGGCGUUUUAUCUUAUGUGUAACCA